AAACCUCAAGUAACUUGAGUUUGGCCAAUGCAGUGCACUGUGACAUCAUAGCAUAACAUAAAUGGAGUAUUGGCACCAUUCCAUUUAGCUUAAUAAGUCUGGACAACUAACAAGAUAGUGUGGGUUGCUGUCUAAAAACACCUAUUCUGCUGCCUAAAUUAUUCAGGUCACAUCAGAUUCAACCUGCACUGGAAGGAAUGACUGAGACACCAACAGUGAGUCAAUCGUGUUCCUGAGAAGCAUGCAUCCACACACAUUUUCUGGUAAAUAACAUGGAGAUAGAA
rnacentral:lncRNA from 1 species